rnacentral:rRNA from 1 species
UAUAAUUAAUGGGGUGAAUUAAAGUGUCUUGAUUUAUUUGUUUUGGUUUGAUUUUGUUUAUUUAUAGUAAAUUAUUUAUUUUGAGGUGAAAUUUAAUUAGUGGGUUAUAUUAGUAAAGAUGAGUGAAGGUAAAUUGUUAAAACGAUAGAGAAUAAGUAUCUGUGAGAGGUUGUAGGGUUAGGGGUAGAGAAGGUCUUAUAAUAUAGGUUACCUUUUGUAUUAUGGAUUGUCAAUUUUAUUAUAGUGGUGUUAUUAUUUCCCGAAUUUAGGUGAUCUAGUCUUGGGUUCUAGUUUAGUUAGAGUUUUGUUGGUGUGGUAAAACCAUAAAUUGAUUCAGGAUUAGGGGUGAAAUGUUAAUCGAACUUAAAAAUAUCUGGUUGGGGGGGAAUUAAAUUAAGUUUAGGUAACAGUUGUAAUUUAUAAAUUUUUAUUGUUUUUUAUACCAAAAGGGUAAGCUUUUUGGUAUUUAUAGAAAUAGCUGUUUAAAAUAAUUAUGGGCUUUUGGUUUAGGUUAAUAGGUUUAAGUGGGAUUAAUGGUGUUAAGCUUGGAAUAGUGUUAUUACAUUUGUUGUUGGUGAGUUGGGUCUGAGGUUUUUGGGUGGUACUUCUCGGUUUUAUUAAGUCAUAAGGGUGAUAUGAGUAAUUUUAGGUUUUCUGGUCUGGUUUUUAGUCGUUGUUUAUGGUUGAUUUUUGGGAUUUUAUUUAAUGAUAAAGGGUGUUUUUUAGGAUGUUUAUGGGAGUGGGCUUAGGAAGGUAGUUUAAAUUAAUAUAGGAAGAAGGAAUUCGGCAAAAUUUAGUUCCCGCCUGUUUACUAAAAACAUGUCUUUUUGCUAGUGGUUAGUUCCAUGGGUAGAGAAGGUUUGCUCCUGCCCGGUGCUUUAUGUAAACGGCAGCGGUAUACCUGACCGUUCAAAGGUAGCAUAGUAAUGUGGCUUUUUAUUGAAGUCUGGUAUGAAAGGGUUGACGAGGUUCUAGCUGUCUUCUUUUUAUUUGUUGAAAUUAACUUAGAUUGUGAAAAGGCUUUGGUUUUUUUUAGGGACGAUAAGCCCCUGUGAACUUUGUUGGUU